rnacentral:rRNA from 1 species
UGGGGAAUUUUGGACAAUGGGCGCAAGCCUGAUCCAGCCAUGCCGCGUGCGGGAAGAAGGCCUUCGGGUUGUAAACCGCUUUUGUCAGGGAAGAAAAGACUCCGGAUAAUACCUGGGGUUCAUGACGGUACCUGAAGAAUAAGCACCGGCUAACUACGUGCCAGCAGCCGAGGUAAUACGUAGGGUGCAAGCGUUAAUCUGAAUUACUGGUCGUAAAGCGUGCGCAGGCGGUUAUGCAAGACAGAUGUGAAAUCCCCGGGCUCAACCAGGGAGCUGCAUUUGUGACUGCAUAGCUAGAGUACGGUAGAGGGGGAUGGAAUUCCGCGUGUAGCAGUGAAAUGCGUAGAUAUGCGGAGGAACACCGAUGGCGAAGGCAAUCACCUGGACCUGUACUGACGCUCAUGCACGAAAGCGUGGGGAGCAAACAGG